rnacentral:lncRNA from 1 species
UGCAGCUUGUACUUCCUGAGCACGAGCAUUUGUAUGAAUGUUUUCUUCAUCGUGAUUUUCACUAGUGGCAUUCAACUGUGUGGAUUGUUGUGCCAGGAACAAAGGCAAAUAAUUCAGUGCAAUUACUGGAACUGGAGAACUGGAGAAUUACUGGAUGCAAUUACUUUUUUUCUUCUUCCUUGUCAUGGCCUAGGAGAACUGGAGAAGAACAGGAGAUCAAUCGCUGCAAUGGGAGUGUCGUCAGCCGUCAGGAACUCAGGAUGGCAGAUUGAGUGCCACGCCGCCGCAAAUCGACGAGAGAAGAUCGUGUGAUACUGCACUGCGAGUACGCUGGGCAACAGGGCAACCGAACUGUUCAGACCUCACUAGCCAAUAAGGCUUGUAGCCUACCGUAACUUAAAAGCCCAUGGGCCUCGUACAGAAUAAAGGCCAUAUAGGCUGCUACCACCGGCGCUCGGCUCCCUGGUAAAUUUUUCAGUGGGGUGGGGGUAUCCCACCAUAUGUCAUGUAUGGCAAGCGCCAG